UCAGAAUUGCAAUAUGUUACAGAGGUGGGCUUAAAAAGUCAUUUCCAAAAAUAAAAAAAAUCAUCGCAUUUUUGACUCAGAAGUAUUGGUCUUGGGCAAGCUGACUUUUAGCAUCAACGUCUUCUUGGGAUGAGUUAAGUAGCUUAAAACUAAAUCCAUAAUUGAAUUGUGAUACGAUAGUAAAGUAAGGGAAGUCCUUGUUCCAGUUUGAUGCAAGGGAUAUUCAGGAUCCUUUUCUCUAUGUCUUCUGAUUCUUUAUCAUUUUCUGUUGUUGAUGGUUAUGAUGACGGUUGUCCAGCCAUGUCUACUUAGCUAUCAAAGAAAUCUAGUUCUAAAUUCAAACUCACAUAGAAAUUGGAAGGAAGAAAAUGGGUUAUGGUAAUAGGGAGGAAACAUGACUUCAAGUGGUAGAAAUGAAGCAAAGAAUUAAAUAAUCAAAUGAUAGGAAAAAGGUUGUGACAGAGAGUAGGGGGUCAUGAUGAGACAUUUGAGGGAAAUAGCUUCAUAGUUCAUUUAUCUCGACCAACAAAUAUCAUUCAAUUAUGUAGAGCAAUAGGGAAGGAAAGGAAGAGACAGGGGCGGAUCCACGUUGAACUGAGGGGUUCAACUGAACCCUUUGAAAAAAAAAAUUCCUACUUACCCCUCUAAAGUAAUUUUUUUAAACCCCUUGCAAUUUUAAAAUUGCACCCAGGUCUCAGGCCCCACUCCCCAAUCAACACUCAGUCACUCAUUCCUCACUCCUCUCUCUCUCUCUUCCUCACGCACUCACUCUCUCACGGUCUCAACUCUCACCUCAUUCACUCACGAAUCACCACCGAUCCAGACCACCACCGAUCAGCCACCUGACCACCGGCCACCAGCCCACCAUAACGGUACCACCACACCAGGCCCCAGCCACCACCACCGAUCCGAUUCAGGUUUCACUUUUUUCUCUCUCUCACGCACUCAUCAUUCAUCAACGCUGCAACCCACCAGGCGGCAGCCACCAACGCCACCAGUACACCACCACCGCCCACCGGCGGCCGCCAACGCACCACCACUCUCUCUCAAGAUGCUGCUGUUGAAGACUUGAAGCUUGAAGGUCAUGGAUAAAUUUGAACCCCCUGACCCCGGGGUCCUGGAUCCGCCACUGAGAAGAGACAAAUGAAAAGGGAAAACAACAAACCUUCUCUUCUCAUUCUGAGUCUACCCUAGAACUUCUCAACUCCUUCUCCCUCCUUGAGCACGGAAGGGAAACCGAGCAUGAGCGAUGAUACAAUUUGACAGCAACAGAGACCAGGAUCAAUAGUUGUGGCAGUAGGAUGAUAUUUUAAAAAAGGUAAAUUCUGUAGUACCACAAAUAUUUUUGGGUGUAGUGCCAGCAUUUGGUGGCCCAAUAAAGUUGUGACAUGUGUUAAUUUAAUUUAUAAUUAUUUUAUUUGUUUUAAAAUUUCUGAGGGGUUUAUUGCUGUAAUCAUAAAACAUUGAAGGAUAUAAUAAAUUAAUUAAUAACAUAUUGUUGUUAA